CCUCGCUGUUUGGAGACUGUGUCUACAUAUGAAACCCAGAGAUCUGUAAUGUGGAAUUGGACAUCUCACCUCUUGGCUCUAAAUUCAUCCUUCAGUAUUCAUUAGUUGGACACAGAUUGAUGGAGAAGCCUUGCAGGCUGUGUACACUGAAAUGCAUGGUACACUGUUCCUGAAAUACAUAUACAAGAGCAUAUCUCUUCAUCGGUGUGAGAGAUGAUACAGGAAGCUAAGUCAAAUGAUGUGUGUGUGUGUUUCUGUGUAAAUGUUCUAGUGGGAAGCAGGGGUUCUACAGAUCUCUGUCCCAGGAUGAGGAGAAUGAAACAUUGAGUUUUCCACAAAUUAAACAAUAUUUCCUACCCAUA